rnacentral:rRNA from 1 species
GGGGGGGGGGGGGGGGGGGGGGGGGGGGUGGGGGGGGGGGGGGGGGGGGGGGGGGGGGGGCGCUUGGGGGGGGCGGGGGGGGGACGGGUGGGGAGUACAGCGGAGUCUGCUUUGUCGUGGGGGAUAACGUGGGGAAAGUUACGCUAAUACCGCAUACGACCUACGGGUGAGAGCCGGGGAUCUUCGGACCUUGCGCGAUUGAAUGAGCCGAUGUCGGAUUAGCUAGUUGGCGGGGUAAAGGCCCACCAAGGCGACGAUCCGUAGCUGGUCUGAGAGGAUGAUCAGCCACACUGGAACUGAGACACGGUCCAGACUCCUACGGGAGGCAGCAGUGGGGAAUAUUGGACAAUGGGCGCAAGCCUGAUCCAGCCAUACCGCGUGGGUGAAGAAGGCCUUCGGGUUGUAAAGCCCUUUUGUUGGGAAAGAAAAGCAGCAGGUUAAUACCCCGCUGUUCUGACGGUACCCAAAGAAUAAGCACCGGCUAACUUCGUG